rnacentral:misc_RNA from 1 species
GACGGAAGGUGCAAGCGUUACUCGGAAUCACUGGGCGUAAAGCGUCUGUAGGCGUCCUGUUAAGUCUGGUGUAAAAGCGCAGAGCUCAACUCUGCGUACGUGCCGGAAACUGGCAGGAUCGAGCAACUCAGAGGCACCUGGAAUACUGUGAGUAGGGGUAAUAUCCGUUGAUACACAGUAGAACGCUAAAAGCGAAGGCAGGGUGCUGGGGGUUUGCUGACGCUGAGAGACGAAAGCGUGGGGAGCGAACGGG